UACGUAGGGUGCGAGCGUUGUCCGGAAUUAUUGGGCGUAAAGGGCUCGUAGGCGGUCUGUCACGUCGGGAGUGAAAACACGGGGCUUAACCCCGUGCCUGCUUCCGAUACGGGCAGACUAGAGGUAUGCAGGGGAGAACGGAAUUCCUGGUGUAGCGGUGAAAUGCGCAGAUAUCAGGAGGAACACCAAUGGCGAAGGCAGCACUCUGGGACGUGACUGACGCUGAGACGCGAAAGCGUGGGGAGCAAACAGG
rnacentral:rRNA from 1 species